CGUGUAGGCGGGGAUACGAGUCUGAUGUGAAAGCCCUAGGCUUAACCUGGGAAGUGCAUUGGAAACGGUAUUUCUUGAGUACUGGAGAGGAAGGGGGAAUUCCCGGUGUAGAGGUGAAAUUCGUAGAGAUCGGGAGGAAUACCAGUGGCGUAGGCGCCUUUCUGGACGGUUACUGACGCUGAGACGCGAAAGCGUGGGGAGCAAACAGGAUUAGAUACCCUGGUAGUCCACGCUGUAAACGAUGAGCACUAGGUGUAGCGGGUACUCAUUCCUGCUGUGCCGUAGCUAACGCGUUAAGUGCUCCGCCUGGGGAUUACGGUCGCAAGACUAAA
rnacentral:rRNA from 1 species